rnacentral:tRNA from 1 species
GCCCAGUAGCUAAUUGGUAGUAGAGCGAAACUUUGAAGGUGUUUAGGUUAUAAGUUCAAAUCUUAUCUUGGGCA